UAUGCUCAGGGCUGCUGAUGCCCUGAGCCGAAAGGUCCUUUCAUCUUCUAGGUUUUACAAAUGUCACCUCACACAGGGGGCAUGCUUGUCGUCCUUAACAAGGACAAUCAAGUCAGAGUGUCCAGAGAGAGUCUGUAGCCAUUCAGGGAUAUAGAAGCCAGCAGAUCCGUCUUCAGAGGCAUGGCCCAGAAUUAUUUGGCGUGAAUUCACCAAGGACGGCCAUGAACUCCUGAUCCUCCUGCUUCCUGCUCUCAACUGUUGGUAUUGCAGUGUUCUCCACUAAAGGGACUACACACAGGCAUGAUUUAAAGAUGACCCAGCCUCCAUUUCGGAGUUACCAUUUGGGUACACAUUUCAGCCAAGAGUGCUUAGGAGACAAUGGUGAUAUAUAAGGAAGCUGAAGUAUCUGAAUGUCAUACAAACCUGAGAGAGGCCCUCAGCCUCCCAGCCCAGCAGUGGUGUCUGUCUCCUGGGAAUAACAUAGCUUUAUGGACAAAGCAGGAUGUGCCAGGGAAAAACAAAUAAGCAUGCACCCCCGCUAUGGAAGGAAAUAUUCCUAGUCAAACAGUAACGUAAUACCUGCUUAUUCUUUUCAAACCAUCCUGUCAUUUAUUUGAAGAUUAUUUUCCACUGAAACCUUUGCAGAAGGUACUUAGAGCAAAGCCUCAAGAGACUCUCACGCUCAUUUUGGAGCUGUCUGAUAUUCAUGGCUCCGAGCUGGGCAAAUAUUAGCUGGAAGAUGUAGACGGUGAUAAGGCCAACGGCCUACACUUCUCCAGACCCUGAAAGGGUUUCUGUUGACACAACCUGAUUUGUCUCGGCAGCAGCUGCACCGCAUAGAUUUUGCACGGAAGCCCUGUCAUGGUUGGUGCCUGUGUGGGGAGCCAGGCACCUCCCUGGAGGCUUUAUCAUAGGAAUGACAGUCAGCACAGCUCUAUACUCAUGGGCUUUAGGAAGAUAAGAACUCCCAAUCAACCCUCAGUUACGAAGUUAUUAUUGUUGUAGCUUUCUGUUCCACUGCUGUCCUUUGGUAACCGAGAAUAAGUGAAUAAAUAAAUGAAUGAAUCCGUUCA
rnacentral:lncRNA from 1 species